rnacentral:lncRNA from 10 species
CUUUACAUACCCGCCAGACACCUCCAGGAAGGGAGCGCCCGCUGCCUUCGUUCUCCCAACUGGAGCAAACUCUGUGGCGGCGACGAUGGCGGCCGUCAGGUCGGUGGUGAUGAAUAGAGAGGAUUUCUCUGCAGCGCGACGCUCCCCUCUCCCGAAAGGUUGGCUCCACGGUCCCGCCGGCCGCGCAGGUCUGGCUGAACUGCUUGGGGUCGCCCGGCUCCUCUCGAUUUUAUGAAAAUGGCCUAAUUGAGGUGUGCUCUUUUCUUUCCUUCCUCUUUUCAUCUUUUCCUUCCGUCUGCAUUUUCUCUCCUCUGUCUUAGGCUUGGUAUCUUCUUUUCUUUUUAUAUUUGUGUUUUUCUCACCGCCUUUGCUUCCUUCCAUUUCAGUUAUCUUGCUUUUUGUGUGUUCUUUCUUGAUUUCUUUCUUUCCUUUUCUUGUUAUUGCUCACUCUCUGGCUCCGCCACCCACCCCUUGCUCUAUCUUCAUUUUCCCUUUAGUACUUUUCUCCCUAUCUUUCAUCUCACUUACACUACAGCCCUGCGACAUCCUCAGGAAUUAGAACCCUCUCGGGAUAAGCCUAAGUGCCUCUGAGGCCAGGGCUGAGGGAGCCAGCUAUCAAAACCAUGGGACAAAUGGAUCUGAGGAGGAAUCGAAGGAUGGACAGCUGAAGGGAGAGGCUUGCUCCAACAACAGGGCGGCCACGGCAGCUGCUGCGCGCCCUGACGCCGCCUAGAAACCGGAGGAGGGCCUAGCCAAGCCCAGAGAACUGUCCUGGAUGGUAAAGCGCCCUGCGGCCCGCGGGUCAGGUCUUUAACGGUCCAGCCAGCGCAGCAAGAGAGCUGGGGAGUCUUCUUGCAGUCCCUUCCUCCUACUCACGCAAAGAUCUCCUCUAUGCUGGUGGUGGUAUUUGAGGAGAAGGUGAAGAUUUUGGUUGGAAGAGGGACCAGCAGACAAACUUGUUCUCUUGUGUAUAAAAAGCCAUAACACGCCCCACAUCCCUCAAGCUAGGAAGAAACCUGGGCUGGAUGGUGACCCACUGGAGAAGCUGUGACAUCCUAGCAUGGGGAAGAGUACCAGGAUGCCCACUCCUCUUCCCCAGGAACCACCAAGGAGCCUGGAGCCUGGCUUUAUCUCAGCCCUGAGUCCCCCUCUCCCGGUGCGCACACCCCUAACUUUUUUUUUUUAGAUGGAAU